rnacentral:lncRNA from 1 species
ACAAACUUUGUUUUAAGGGGGGAUACUGGCGGUGCACGUCCUAUCACAUGCCCUUGUUCGGGGGAAUACUGUUGACACAGGAUUGUACACCAGUCACUCCCAUGAACAAGGACUUGGGUUUCGUUCGCUUUAUGUCAAACCUCCGACAGGCUCCCACGAAAGAGGAACUAAAAGUCUUUGUUGAGACCUGAGUCAACUCUCCAAAUCGCCGAUUGGGGUGGCAAAUCGUCGAGUUGAGAAGAAGAUUGUCAGAUUCGGGCAGACUGCAGAUCUUCUCCUUUGAACUCGUCGGUUUCACCCCUAACUCGUUGGUUACACCCCCAAAUCGUCGAUUUGGACCGUUACUCGCGUCCAGCCUUAGCCAUAAUGACUAUCAUUAUGACCAAGCGUGAUCUCCACCACGGAUUACGCCCCUAGAGGUCCUAUAAAAGGGGACCCCAGGCUCAUCCAAAGGCAUCAAUUUUAUCUUUUCUAAAGCGUGAAUCACGGAGAAAUCGCUGAUUUCCUCCCCUGAAGACUUGACGUAGAGCGCGCGUCGUAGAUCUUAGAACCUCCGGCACGAAAAGGUAGUCGCUCGCACCACCGCGAGCGCUGGUAGGAUUAUUCGUU